CCAUGCCGUAAACGGUGGGCGCUAGGUGUAGGGGGCUUCCACGUCUUCUGUGCCGUAGCUAACGCAUUAAGCGCCCCGCCUGGGGAGUACGGCCGCAAGGCUAAAACUCAAAGGAAUUGACGGGGGCCCGCACAAGCGGCGGAGCAUGUGGAUUAAUUCGAUGCAACGCGAAGAACCUUACCUGGGCUUGACAUAUACGGGAUCGCUGCAGAGAUGUGGUUUCCCUUGUGGCUCGUAUACAGGUGGUGCAUGGUUGU
rnacentral:rRNA from 1 species